rnacentral:rRNA from 1 species
CAGCAGUCGCCACGGUAAUACGAAGGGGGCUAGCGUUGUUCGGAAUUACUGGGCGUAAAGCGCACGUAGGCGGAUAUUUAAGUCAGGGGUGAAAUCCCAGAGCUUAACUCUGGAACUGCCUUUGAUACUGGGUAUCUUGAGUAUGGAAGAGGUGAGUGGAAUUCCGAGUGUAGAGGUGAAAUUCGUAGAUAUUCGGAGGAACACCAGUGGCGAAGGCGGCUCACUGGUCCAUUACUGACGCUGAGGUGCGAAAGCGUGGGGAGCAAACAGGAUUAGAUACCCCUGUAGUCCCUGUCUCUUAUAC